CACGUAGGGGGCGAGCGUUGUCCGGAUUUAUUGGGCGUAAAGAGCUCGUAGGCGGCUCGGUAAUUCAGGUGUGAAACCUCCAGGCUCAACUUGGAGACGCCACCUGAUACUGCCGUGGCUAGAGUCCGGUAGAGGAGCGUAGAAUUCCUGGUGUAGAGGUGAAAUUCGUAGAUAUUAGGAAGAACACCAGUGGCGAAGGCGGCUCACUGGCCCGGUACUGACGCUGAGACGCGAAAGCGUGGGGAGCAAACAGG
rnacentral:rRNA from 1 species